rnacentral:rRNA from 1 species
UACGAAGGACCCGAGCGUUAUCCGGAUUUAUUGGGUUUAAAGGGUCCGUAGGCGGUUUUGUAAGUCAGUGGUGAAAGCCCAUCGCUCAACGGUGGAACGGCCAUUGAUACUGCAAGACUUGAAUUAUUAGGAAGUAACUAGAAUAUGUAGUGUAGCGGUGAAAUGCUUAGAGAUUACAUGGAAUACCAAUUGCGAAGGCAGGUUACUACUAAUGGAUUGACGCUGAUGGACGAAAGCGUGGGUAGCGAACAGG